UGGGGAAUCUUGCGCAAUGGGCGAAAGCCUGACGCAGCGACGCCGCGUGAGUGAUGAAGGCCUUAGGGUUGUAAAGCUCUGUGGAGAGGGACGAAUAAGUGUCGGUCAAUAACCGGCAUGAUGACGGUACCUCCUUAGCAAGCACCGGCUAACUCUGUGCCAGCAGCCGCGGUAAGACAGAGGGUGCGAACGUUGUUCGGAAUCACUGGGCGUAAAGCGCGUGUAGGCUGUUGCGAAAGUCGGGUGUGAAAGCCCUGGGCUCAACCUGGGAAGUGCACUCGAAACUGCGUGACUUGAGUAUCGGAGAGGGAGGCGGAAUUCUCGGUGUAGAGGUGAAAUUCGUAGAUAUCGAGAGGAACACCAGCGGCGAAGGCGGCCUCCUGGACGAUCACUGACGCUGAGACGCGAAAGCGUGGGGAGCAAACAGG
rnacentral:rRNA from 1 species